rnacentral:rRNA from 1 species
UACGUAGGGUGCGAGCGUUAAUCGGAAUUACUGGGCGUAAAGCGUGCGCAGGCGGUUGUGCAAGACAGAGGUGAAAUCCCCGGGCUUAACCUGGGAAUGGCCUUUGUGACUGCACGGCUAGAGUGUGUCAGAGGGGGGUAGAAUUCCACGUGUAGCAGUGAAAUGCGUAGAGAUGUGGAGGAAUACCGAUGGCGAAGGCAGCCCCCUGGGAUAACACUGACGCUCAUGCGCGAAAGCGUGGGGAGCAAACAGG